rnacentral:tRNA from 1 species
AGCUUUGUAGUUUAAAUAAAAUAAUUAUUUGUGGUAUAAAAGAUAAAUAAGCUA